rnacentral:rRNA from 1 species
AUUGAACGCUGGCGGCAGGCCUAACACAUGCAAGUCGAACGAGUGGCGGACGGGUGAGUAAUGUAUGGGAAACUGCCCGAUGGAGGGGGCUAACUACUGGAAACGGUAGCUAAUACCGCAUACCAUCGGAUGUGCCCAGAUGGGAUUAGCUAGUGGGUGGGGUAAUGGCUCACCUAGGCGACGAUCCCUAGCUGGUCGUAGAGGAUGACCAGCCACACUGGAACUGAGACACGGUCCAGACUCCUACGGGAGGCAGCAGUGGGGAAUAUUGCACAAUGGGCGCAAGCCUGAUGCAGCCAUGCCGCGUGUGUGAAGAAGGCCUUCGGGUUGUAAAGCACUUUCAGCGGGGAGGCGUUACCCGCAGAAGAAGCACCGGCUAACUCCGUGCCAGCAGCCGCGGUAAUAC